CUCCGCAAUGCUUUCCAGCCAACUUUUAUUUUGGAAAAUACUCCUGAGAUUAAUAACAUUUUGAUCACUGCAAAAUCGUUGACCACUUAUUUCAAACAACGUGGCAACAUAAAAUAUCUGAGCAAGACGUUACAACAAAAUAUUGAUAUAAGAUGGAAAACAAAACAUAAGAUGCUACAAAGCAUUUAUAUAAUGUAUGAUGAGAUUUUAUCUUACAACCUCGUGAUAUGAGUGAAAAAAUGGGAUCUAUGGGAAAGGAAGGUUUAAAAACGCUGAUAGAUUAUUUGGAGCCAUAUAAAGAUGCAACUAUUGUUCUUGAGAGCGACUGCAGGCCUACACUACAGAAUGUUCUUAUAUGGUAUAAUCUUCUUCUACAUGAGCAUAAUCAAAUAAAUAUGGAUAUAAUGGGAAAAACAAAUUGUGAAAAAGAAAUAGAUUUAAUAAAGAAAAGUGCUAAAAUAUUAUAAUUGAAAAAUUUCCAUAUGCUUCAUAAAAUUUGAACAUUUUUAAUACCAAAGUUCCGACAAAGGAGGAUGUUUACGUCGGAAGAAAUUAAUGAAGUAAAAAAAACAUAUUGAAAACUGGAUUUGAUUUGCAUCGAAGAAUAUAGCAUCGACGUGGAUGAAUAAUCUGAUUUUACCCCUUUCCCCAAAUGCAAAGAGAAUCAAAUUAAAGGAUAUUAAUAAAUUAUAAAAUUGCUUAGCUCUAUUAAAUGCAAUGUUUGAUAUAAAUAUCACCCGCUUCAAAAUUUAACCCCAACAUAUGGGAGGAUGAGGUUGUUACAGGGGAGACUAUUGUACCUAAUGACAUAACAAAAUAUUUAAAUCUUAAAAUCUCAAUUGAGGAAGAGGAUAUACUUCAAACGGAUAUCCUACUUUGGUGGAAACGACUAGAAAGAGAUUUGUCAAAGCUAUUAAGAUUAGCAAGAAAAAUAUUGGCAAUUCCUGCAACUAGUGCUUCUUCCGAACGUGGAUUUAUCAUUGCUGUAAGAUUUUUAGAACAAAG